AUGGCUGUGGAGUCGCACAUUACCCAGAAGGAAAUUAAGAAGGAGCUUCAGAAGCUGAUCCUCACAAGCAGACAGGCCCGCUGCCGCCAGUAACAGCCGCCGCCACCGAAUGGUCGAGUUCUCCGGAUGAAACAUACCGUCCAGCGUGCUGGCGACCUACACUUGGAUAGAUGCAACCUUGAAAGAACUGAGCUUAGUAAAAUAAGUCUAUCCAGAGGCUAGAAAGAAGGGCACACAUUUCAAUUUUAUAGGUUUUUACAGAUAUUAAAAGAUCUGGCUAUCGAGUUAAGGAGAUUGGCAGCGCCACAUCUGGCAGAAAGGGGACUGGUGAUUCCAUGACCCCUGCAGUCACAGAAGUUACAACUAGGAGAUUAUUCGGACAUAACGAUUACUCCC
rnacentral:lncRNA from 1 species